rnacentral:rRNA from 1 species
AUUGAACGCUGGCGGCAGGCUUAACACAUGCAAGUCGAGCGAGCGGCGGACGGGUGAUUAAUGUCUGGGAAACUUCCUGAUGGAGGGUGAUAACUACUGGAAACGGUAGCUAAUACCGCAUACCAUCAGAGUUGCCCAGAUGGGAUUAUCUAGUAGGUGGGGUAAUGGCUCACCUAGGCGACGAUCCCUAGCUGGUCUGAGAGGAUGACAAGACACACUGGGACUGAGACACGGUCAAGACUACUACGGGAGGCAGCAGUGGGGAAGAUUGGACAAUGGGCGCAAGCCUGAUACAGCCAUGCCGCGUGUGUGAUGAAGGCCUUCGGGUUGUAAAGCACUGUCAGCGAGGAAGCGUUACGCGCAGAAGAAGCACCGGCUAACUCCGUGCCAGCAGCCGCGGUAAUAC